rnacentral:lncRNA from 1 species
CCUCAUCUGAAAAUGCAUGCAUUUCAUAGCUAAUAUUUCCCACUUCCGUAUUUUAAAAAAUUAAGAGAAAUCUACUUCUCCCCUGCCUAUCUUUUAGAGAGCUGUCUCUCUGAGGGUCCGGAGUCUAUUCUGUCUAAGUGUGUUAAUUUGGUCAAAUAAUGGAGUGAGAAGCACUACGUGCUUAGUCCCACAUGCAUGGGCAUCACAUAGUGUUCUGCCAUGGUAUAAGAUUGGUUUAUUUUAUGGGUUCAGUGAGUAAAUGCUUUUCUGACACACAAUCAAUUUUCUACAUACAUGUUUCCAUAUGUGAUUUUUAGAUUUUCCCCAUCUUGCUUAGUCUAGCACCAAGGGAUGUAUACACUCACACUACACUGGCAUGUGCUAGCAAAUGACAAAUAAGAAAUGACUGACUGUCCCCUGGGCUGUCCUACACCAAGCUUGAGCCACAAUUGGCACAUGUGAGACGCAGGAAGUGAUGUAGAGAACUGCCAUUGAAGUUCUCAUCACUUCCUGUGGAGAGGGCUAGAUGCCAGUUCGAUCCUGGAACUCGAGCUUGGAGGAGCUCCCGCAGACAGCUUUCCUUCAAUCGGUCAUCUGUGCCCUCCCUCUGAUCUUUCAAGAAUGUCAAGAGGAGGAGGAGCUUUUGGGAGGAUUUAACUCCUUGGCUCCCCACAUUGGUUAAAAUAUAAAUUGUUCUGGUUCUUCUUGCUUUUGUCUUCGUCAGUUCAUGGUAAAAGCACUCAUGGGAGCCACCCAGAUGCCAGAUGUCACCAUAACCUCUGCAACCAUCCCAGCCUGAUGCUCUGGACAAUUGCCUAAAGUCAAUACCUCUCUCUCCUAAUGGAUAGGCAGGGACGUCUCUACGCCCAUUCUCAGCUGUGAAGAAGUUACAGAAUACUAAGACCACCAUCCCUUUUCCCUUACAGAGGGGGGAGAUGACAUGGGCACUGUACCCCAGAAACCCAGGCCAACUAUUAUCAAGGAAACUCCCUUGCUUUACCUCCUCCUGACUCUGAACUGA